rnacentral:rRNA from 1 species
UGCCAGCAGCCGCGGUAAUACGGAGGGUGCAAGCGUUAAUCGGAAUUACUGGGCGUAAAGCGCGCGUAGGCGGUUAGUUAAGUCGGAUGUGAAAGCCCUGGGCUCAACCUGGGAAUGGCAUUCGAUACUGCAUGGCUAGAGUAUGGUAGAGGGAAGUGGAAUUUCCGGUGUAGCGGUGAAAUGCGUAGAUAUCGGAAGGAACACCGGUGGCGAAGGCGACUUCCUGGGCCAAUACUGACGCUGAGGCGCGAAAGCGUGGGUAGCAAACAGGAUUAGAUA